rnacentral:rRNA from 1 species
GCACCUGCGGUAAUUCCAGCACCAAUAGCGUAUAUUAAUGCUGCUGCUGUUAAAAAGCUCGUAGUUGGAUCAAGAGUUCGACAGUGCACGGUGGCCCUGUUUGUCAUGGUGGUUCCGAUCACCGUGGCGGCAGCGGAUCAACCCCGUGCGCCAAACUGUCGACUCUAACAGACCGAAACGGUUCCCUGUGAGUAGGCUCCUUCAUUGGGGCUGAAAGCGCUUACGCAUCAACCAUAUGCAUACGGGACGUCGGUCAAAGUUACUGUGAACAAACCAGCGUGUCCAAAACAGGCUUUCGCCUGAAUGUUCGAGCAUGGAAUAACAAGGGAUCGAUUCUCUCGGUUCUUUUUGUUGGUUUUUAACCCGAGAAGGAGUAAUUCAGGCCACGGUGUCUGAGUUGGGUUUCCCUUCACCUCGGUGGAGGCCCCAAUUAGGCCGUGUCCUUACGGGAUAAAUAGGGACUGACGGGGUCGUACGUACUUCCACGUCAGAGGUGAAAUUCUUAGAUCGUGGGAAGACGAACUUCUGCGAAAGCAUUCGACAAGAAUGUCUUCAUUAAUCAAGAACGAGAGUGUGGGGAUCGAAGAUGAUCAGAUACCGUCGUAGUCCACUACUGUAAACAAUGCCGUCUCAGGAUUGAGAAGUGGACAGAAUGACUUUCACAGCACUAACCCCUGAAACGAGAAAUCAAAGAUUAUGGGUUCAGGGGGGAGUACAUUCGCAAGGCUGAAACUUAAAGGAAUUGACGGAAUGACACCACAAGGCGUGGAGUAUGCGGCUUAAUUUGACUCAACACGGGGAAUUUUACUAGGUCAGGACAAUGUAAGGAUUGACAGAUUGAGAGCUCUUUCUCGAUCCAUUGUGUGGUGGUGCAUGGCCGCUCCUGGUUGGUGGAGUGAUUUGUCUGGUUGAUUCCGUUAACGAACGAGAUCUCGACCCUUAAAUAGGUGCCCGUGUCGAAUGUAGUUUCGCCUCCGCGUACUUGUACGAUUGGAGCGGGACGAGACUGCGGGAAUACUUCUUAAGGGGACUGUGUGCGUCUCUAGCACGCGGAAGAGCGAGCCAAUAGCAGGUCUGUGAUGCUCCUAAAUGUCCUAGGCUGCACGCGCACUACACUGAUGCAAUAAACGAGUCUGAGUGCCUUCUGGCAACCUACCUGGAAGCGGGUGGGAAAUCUUUUGAACUUGCAUCGUGAUGAG